CUCCCAGAGUGCUAGGAUUACAGGCGUGAGCCACCGCGCCUGGCCUGAUUUCUCAGUUUUUAAUCAUUUCUUCUGAGAGUUACUUCCUACUUCUACGUGCUCAUCCGCUGGCCACAGAGGUGCCACCUUGGCGCUGGCUUCUCUGGUCCAGCGUCCGGCUUCCUCGCGCGCCAGCCCUACCCCCACCACAUCCUCCAAAAGCAGCUACCUCACACUGUUUGCAAGAAACUCGUGUUUAUUUAGGGAGACAGCCGUGCUCUGUCGCCCGGGCUGGAGAGCAGCUGCACGAUCACAGCUCAGGCGCCUCCAGUGAACCCCGCGCCUCGGCUCCCACAGUGCAGGGAGUGUGCGCACGUCUGAGGAAACGUGAGCAAGGUUCACACCCAGCAGUGGGGCACGGCCGCGUUUUCCUGUUGUUUCUCAUUGGUUUCCUGACGUUUCAUGGCUCCAUUCCGAACGUGCGCUGCUCUCAAUGAAUCCUGGCGUAUUUCCCCGAACGGCACAAGCAUCAGAAAUGGGCAACUCUGCUGAUUUCCUGGGGCCUCCCCGCGGGGCCCAACCUUUUGCUCCGAGCUGUGGUGUCAGAGCCGCCUUGGGUCCCCGCCGCCUCCGCCUGUGUCCCCUCCUGGUUCCCUCGCGUCCCUCCGGACACGCCUCCUCCCACAGCGUCCCGAGAAAGUGGGCGGGCAGCAGCGUCGGAGUCUUUGCAAACCUGGAAACGUCUGUGCGCGGCCGCACACCUGACUGCGGUUUGGCUUGAUAGAGGUUGGCAGGUAGAGAACAUUUUCACGCAGAAUUUCGGAGGUUCCUCUGUGACGUCUGUGCUUUCGGCGUUGCCGCUGAAGUCUCACGUUCACGUGGACACGUGUGCAGACUGCAAGUCCCCAGCUCAGCGCGUCACAAACGGAGCAGACAGCACGGCCGGCGCAGAGCUACGAUCCGACGUCCGGCUCGGCCCCGCUGCCUGCUCACCCCCACCCGGACCUCCCGUCCUUCCUCUCGUCACGGAGCUUCUGGAACAUUCUUCUUUCCCUAAAGUUUCAGGGUGAGGACACGUGUGCGUUUCCACGAAGUGUGGGGAAUUCAUGGCCCAUCCAGGAUGAGACACGUGUCCUAGAUUCUGGCACCGAGUCCUCUCUCACUGUUGGCAUCCAGAACUCCCGUAGGUGAGUGUCACCUUGACCAAACUUCCAGUUUCUCACCUUUGCCUACUUUUUCAUUUUCUCCUCCUAAGCAUUACCACUUUCUUUUUGAUUAAUCCCGUUUUUAAAUUCUAAGAGCUCCUCUUUAUUCUUGGUUCGUUUUUCGCAUCUUGCUCCUGUUUUGUGGACGUGACACCUCCUCUCGGCCAAGGUGAUGGGUCUUGAAGUUUCCUUCUGUUUCCUGCACAGCGUCCGUCUCCUCCGAGCCCCUGUUCAUCCCUCCCUGCUGUGGCCUUCCGUGCCAAGGUCCUUCCCUACACGUCCACCCUGGACAGGGGCACUAAGACGUUGUCCAGGUUGCGCUGUGGCCUGGGUGGGGCUUGCCAAGCGCUGGGCCUUGCUGUGCCCGUCACCUGCCACCAAUGUUGUCCCCUGGGAGGAGUCUGGUUCCUCCAGCCUCCCCUGGGGACCGGGUGUCUGCUGCAGACACCGACUCCGUGUGCCCUGGGACUGGCGGGGGUUUUGGUCCUUCUUCCCAGGUCACACACCCCGCUGCACUGAUGGCACCAAUGACACCCACAGACUGCACAGGAAGGACAAGCAGGAAGAGCCACCCUGACAGCAGGCUCAGGCUCAGCCUCGAGAUGGACUUCAGGACGCGGCUGAGCAGGAGUCCAGGAUGAUGCUGUCAGAGUCCAAGAGCACCCUUGGUGACGUGGACUGUCCGUGUGGCAUCUGCUGGCCUGUGGCCGCCUGGCAGGGACCGUGCUGCCUGGACCCUCAGCACGAGUGAGCGCAGACGUCCGGGACCCCAGAAGCUCGGGCCUCGCGUCAUGACACCUGACCCCCACUGGGUGGGGCUUGGCAACUGGAGCCUCCUGGGGACGAGGUGCCAGCCUUGUGGGGUGUGCUGUGAAGAGGACACCCCCCAACCCUCAGACCCAAGCAGGUGGGACAGCCGGGCCAGGUCAGAGCCCCUGUGAUGGAGAGUGUACGUGUCCCUCAACUGGGCCACUCGGGGAACUCUGCUCAAGCCUCACUCUGGGGGUCUUGGUGAGGGUGCUUGGCUGAUGCCGGAGUCAGAGCUGAGUGGAGUGGACCACCUUCCCGCCACGGGGCAGCCCCACCAGGUGCACAUCGCCUGCACAGAGCAGGGAGGCCGACCCUGACCCUGACCCUGACCCUCCCCCACGCGAGGAGCUCCUCCUGGCUGGCUGCCCAGGGGACAGGGCCAUCUGCGCCUCCGUCGGGACUGAAACGUCGGGAUCUCUGGACGGAAACUUGCCCCAUCGGCUCUGCCGGGUCUCCCGCAGACGGGGCGCCAGGGGCUGGGAGUCAGAGUUCAACUCGGGAAGCGCAGUUCUGGGGAGGACGGUGCUGGUGGCUGCACAACUCUGUGGGCGUACUUAAUGCUGCAUACUUAAAAAUGGUGAAAAUGGUAAAUUUUAUGUAUAUUUCACCAAAUUUAUAAAAAAGGGAGCUGAUGAAAUACAA